AGAGUUUGAUCAUGGCUCAGGAUGAACGCUGGCGGCGUGCCUAACACAUGCAAGUCGAACGAAGCAGGGGGGCGGAAUCUCUCCGGAGGGGAAGCCCCCCUGACUGAGUGGCGGACGGGUGAGUAACGCGUGGACAACCUACCCCGCACUGGGGGACAACAGCCGGAAACGGCUGCUAAUACCGCAUAUGCGCACGGCCCCGCAUGGGGCCGCGCGGAAAGCGCAUGCGGUGCGGGAUGGGUCCGCGUCUGAUUAGCUUGUUGGCGGGGUAACGGCCCACCAAGGCGACGAUCAGUAGCCGGCCUGAGAGGGUGGACGGCCACAUUGGGACUGAGACACGGCCCAGACUCCUACGGGAGGCAGCAGUGGGGGAUAUUGCACAAUGGGGGCAACCCUGAUGCAGCGACGCCGCGUGAGCGAUGGAGUACUUCGGUAUGUAAAGCUCUGUCAGCAGGGAAGAGAAUGACGGUACCUGACCAAGAAGCCCCGGCUAAAUACGUGCCAGCAGCCGCGGUAAUACGUAUGGGGCAAGCGUUAUCCGGAUUUACUGGGUGUAAAGGGAGCGUAGGCGGCAGGGCAAGCCUGAUGUGAAAGCCCGGGGCU
rnacentral:rRNA from 1 species